rnacentral:misc_RNA from 1 species
GUUAUGGAGAAGAUAAAUGAUUCAGAGCACUGUUCAACUCCAUCGUGGAUUGAAUUCCAAGAGAUCCAUUUGAUUUAGUGUCCUUCCAGAAAGAAUUCUGUUCAGAACUGGGGUCAGCCUGAGGAGCACCACUGUUUAACAUAUAUUUUUAAAAUAUAUUAAAAAUAUUAGAUAAUCAACUUAAUAAAUUAUAUAUUUCUUAAACUUCUAGGAUAGUUAUUGUGAAUAUUUUAUUGUUAAUGCAAUAUUUCAAAUUUAUUAAAUUUUUAUAAGAAAAGGCGAAAUUAUAAAAAUAUGGAGAGAUUUUUUUAUUUAUUUGUGAACCCUACAAUUACAAGAAACAGGGAUUUUAAAUUUAUUAAAAUUAAAAUUGAAAAAAUUUUAAUUUAGAAAAAAUUAAAAUUUAAUGACGACAAUUAAAAAAAUCUAAAGUUAAAAGUAAUUAAGUGAAAAAUUAACUCAUGUUAACUUAUUAUACAGUAACUUUAAUGAUAUACAAAUUAAAAUUGAAUAAAUUUUAAGAAAAAAAAAAUUAAAAUUAAGCAACUUUCAUGAAAUAACUCAAUUUUCACCUGAAUGAGUAAUCAAUUCAAAUCUCUAGUUUCCUGGCUACCAUAUCAAACUCACCUGAGAAUCAUAGCGGGUAACAUAACAAGCAACAAGGAGAAGAAACUG